rnacentral:rRNA from 1 species
ACUCCUACGGGAGGCAGCAGUGGGGAAUAUUGCACAAUGUGCGCAAGCCUGAUGCAGCCAUGCCGCGUGUGUGAAGAAGGCCUUCGGGUUGUAAAGCACUUUCAGUCGUGAGGAAGGUAGUGUAGUUAAUAGCUGCAUUAUUUGACGUUAGCGACAGAAGAAGCACCGGCUAACUCCGUGCCAGCAGCCGCGGUAAUACGGAGGGUGCGAGCGUUAAUCGGAAUUAACUGGGCGUAAAGCGCAUGCAGGUGGUUGUUAAGUCAGAUGUGAAAGCCCGGGGCUCAACCUCGGAAUAGCAUUUGAAACUGGCAGACUAGAGGUACUGUAGAGGGGGUAGAAUUUCAGGUGUAGCGGUGAAAUGCGUAGAGAUCUGAAGGAAU